GACGAACGCUGGCGGCGCGCCUAACACAUGCAAGUCGAACGGAGUUACUCUGAAUGAAGUUUUCGGAUGGAUUUUGGAUUAACUUAGUGGCGAACGGGUGAGUAACGCGUGAGUAACCUGCCCUGGAGUGGGGGACAACAGUUGGAAACGACUGCUAAUACCGCAUAAGCCCACAGUGCCGCAUGGCACAGCGGGAAAAGGAUUUAUUCGCUUCAGGAUGGACUCGCGUCCAAUUAGCUAGUUGGUGAGGUAACGGCCCACCAAGGCGACGAUUGGUAGCCGGACUGAGAGGUUGAACGGCCACAUUGGGACUGAGACACGGCCCAGACUCCUACGGGAGGCAGCAGUGGGGAAUAUUGGGCAAUGGGCGCAAGCCUGACCCCAGCAACGCCGCGUGAAGGAAGAAAGGCUUUCGGGUUGUAAACUCUUUUCUUAGGGACGAAGCAAGUGACGGUACCUAAGGAAUAAGCCACGGCUAACUACGUGCCAGCAAGCCGCCGUAAU
rnacentral:rRNA from 1 species